rnacentral:rRNA from 1 species
CCUACGGGAGGCAGCAGUCGAGAAUCAUUCACAAUGGGGGAAACCCUGAUGGUGCGACGCCGCGUGGGGGAAUGCAGGUCUUCGGAUUGUAAACCCCUGUCAUGUGGGAGCAAAUUAAAAAGAUAGUACCACAAGAGGAAGAGACGGCUAACUCUGUGCCAGCAGCCGCGGUAAUACAGAGGUCUCAAGCGUUGUUCGGAAUCACUGGGCGUAAAGCGUGCGUAGGCUGUUUCGUAAGUCGUGUGGGAAAGGGGGGGGCUCAACCGGCGGAGGGCACAUGAUACUGGAAGAAUGGAGUAAAGUGGGGGGAGGCGGAAUUAGCGGGGGAGAGGUGAAAGGAUUAGAAAUAAAGAAGAA